rnacentral:hammerhead_ribozyme from 1 species
AUCUAUCUGAUGGGUCUUAAAUAAGAUGAAACGCGCGUCCUAGAU